ensembl:lncRNA
CUAUGCAGUUGUUAAGGUUUUCUAGACAGUUGCCAAGGUGACACUAUGUGAUUGUUUAUGUUUUCUGAGCUUGAUACAACAUAUUGUUGCUAUGGUGUUCAACAGAAGGUAGGUUCUAGGGCAUUGCUAUAUGGUUGCCAGGGUGUUGCUAUGCAGGUACUGUGUUCUUACUGCAACUUACAUUGCACUCAAGCUAUACUGUACAUCUUAUAAAGUUCAUGCAUGUUUUCCUUGCUUCUUUUUAACCUGGGUUUCCUCUGAUGCUAUGAAUAUGUUGAUAUUUUAACUUUAACUCAUAGUAUUUUGCGGUGCAUUUGCAUUCUAACACAUUUUGCAAUGCAACUGCAUUGCUAGAAGCCUUUGAAUUCAUGUACUUGCAUAUGUUUGGCCCUGAGGCAUCACCGAUGCACUCCUGACAUGAAGGCAGUCCAAAAUAAAGGCAGCAAUAUGAUGCAUUAUUAUUUAGCCGUUCUCUGAUGGAUGCAUGUCCUUGUGUGGCUCUGUGCAGACUCUUGGGCUCAGGACGGGGUCGGUGGCCCCGCGUGGCCCCUCUUCCUCUGGGUCAGAGCGCAGCCAGACCCCCUGUCUCCA